rnacentral:rRNA from 1 species
AUUGAACGCUGGCGGCAGGCCUAACACAUGCAAGUCGAACGGUAACAGGAAGCAGCUUGCUGCUUUGCUGACGAGUGGCGGACGGGUGAGUAAUGUCUGGGAAACUGCCUGAUGGAGGGGGAUAACUACUGGAAACGGUAACUAAUACCGCAUAACGUCGCAAGACCAAAGAGGGGGACCUUCGGGCCUCUUGCCAUCGUAUGUGCCCAGAUGGGAGUAGCUAGUAGGUGGGGUAAAGGCUCACCUAGGCGACGAUCCCUAGCUGGUCUGAGAGGAUGACCAGCCACACUGGAACUGAGACACGGUCCAGACUCCUACGGGAGGCAGCAGUGGGGAAUAUUGCACAAUGGGCGCAAGCCUGAUGCAGCCAUGCCGCGUGUAUGAAGAAGGCCUUCGGGUUGUAAAGUACUUUCAGCGGGGAGGAAGGGAGUAAAGUUAAUACCUUUGCUCAUUGACGUUACCCGCAGAAGAAGCACCGGCUAACUCCGUG